CGACAGUGUCCCCGCUUUCCCUCAGGAAGGAUGAAUUAUUUAUCUAAAAGAGAUAAGAAUUUAUGGAGAGUAUGGUCCGAAGAAGCCACCGAACGACAUGCGAGAGGUUCGGGAAAACGUCGAGCUAGAAGCGAA